CUUUCCGAUUCAUAUUGCUGCAUUGACGCAAAGUGCCAUGUGCAGGGAGCUUGGCUUCCCAGUCUGUGCCGCUGACGCAGGAGCAAGAAUGAGGUGUCAUUGGCGCUGGGCCAAGGGAGCAGCACUGCUGGUUCAGGACUGCAGCUGGUUCACUACACCUACCUGGGACAAGCAGGGCGGCAUUGCUAGCGAGGAUGGGCGGCGAUGGGUUCAGGAGGGCGACUUACUCGCAGAACAACCACUUCUAGUAGCAAGGAGCUUGGCUUCCCAGUCUGUGCCGCCGACGCGGGAGCGAAGAUGGGCUGCAGCCGGUUGACUAUUCGGUGCGACCUACCUCGGACAAUCAGGAGAAAAGCUGUUGAGCACCUCACCAUGGAAAUCCUGCCGAAUCUGAGCUCAUCAGUCAUUUCUUCUUGCUGUUAUCUUGUUUGCGUCGACAACGUAUGGUGGGACAGAUAGACUGCUACCUGGCGCCUCGAGUGGCAGGUUUUCUCAGUUUUAGAAGGCUGCUGUCUGAUGCAUGACUGGAGGGAGGAAGUGCCAGCUGAACUCCUCUUGUUUGCGAAACAAGAAUUUGUAUUGGUUGUCAUCUGUUUAUUGUAACUCCAAAUCUGGAAUGUUCCAGACCGGUUGUUCUUCUAAUUCCCAUGACGAGAAGUUGUAAUGGUGUAGUUGUAAUGUCUGUUUGGUUAAACUUGUGAUGGAGUUACGGUUGCACUUUUA